rnacentral:rRNA from 1 species
GACGAACGCUGGCGGCGUGCUUAACACAUGCAAGUCGAACGGACCCCCUGGGGUUAGUGGCGAACGGGUGAGUAACACGUGGGUGAUCUGCCCUGCACUUUGGGAUAAGCCUGGGAAACUGGGUCUAAUACCGGAUAGGACCAUGCUCUGAUGGGGUAUGGUGGAAAGCUUUUGCGGUGUGGGAUGGGCCCGCGGCCUAUCAGCUUGUUGGUGGGGUAAUGGCCUACCAAGGCGACGACGGGUAGCCGGCCUGAGAGGGUGACCGGCCACACUGGGACUGAGAUACGGCCCAGACUCCUACGGGAGGCAGCAGUGGGGAAUAUUGCACAAUGGGCGCAAGCCUGAUGCAGCGACGCCGCGUGAGGGAUGACGGCCUUCGGGUUGUAAACCUCUUUCAGCACAGACGAAGCGUAAGUGACGGUAUGUGCAGAAGAAGGACCGGCCAACUACGUGCCAGCAGCCGCGGUAAAAC